rnacentral:tRNA from 1 species
GGAGAGAUGGCAGAGCGGUUGAAUGCACCGGUCUUGAAAACCGGCGUGCCCGUAAGGGUACCGGGGGUUCGAAUCCCCCUCUCUCCG